rnacentral:rRNA from 1 species
UACGUAGGGGGCAAGCGUUGUCCGGAAUCAUUGGGCGUAAAGCGCGCGUAGGCGGCCCGGUAAGUCCGCUCUGAAAGUCCAGGGCUCAACCCUGGAAAGCGGGUGGAUACUGCCGGGCUAGAAUCCGGAAGAGGCGAGUGGAAUUCCUGGUGUAGCGGUGGAAUGCGCAGAUAUCAGGAGGAACACCAAUAGCGAAGGCAGCUCGCUGGGACGGUAUUGACGCUAAGGCGCGAAAGCGCGGGGAGCAAACAGG